GUAACACUAACUGGAGGACCGAACCGACUAAUGUUGAAAAAUUAGCGGAUGACUUGUGGCUGGGGGUGAAAGGCCAAUCAAACCGGGAGAUAGCUGGUUCUCCCCGAAAGCUAUUUAGGUAGCGCCUCGUGAAUUCAUCUCCGGGGGUAGAGCACUGUUUCGGCAAGGGGGUCAUCCCGACUUACCAACCCGAUGCAAACUGCGAAUACCGGAGAAUGUUAUCACGGGAGACACACGGCGGGUGCUAACGUCCGUCGUGAAGAGGGAAACAACCCAGACCGCCAGCUAAGGUCCCAAAGUCAUGGUUAAGUGGGAAACGAUGUGGGAAGGCCCAGACAGCCAGGAUGUUGGCUUAGAAGCAGCCAUCAUUUAAAGAAAGCGUAAUAGCUCACUGGUCGAGUCGGCCUGCGCGGAAGAUGUAACGGGGCUAAACCAUGCACCGAAGCUGCGGCAGCGACGCUUAUGCGUUGUUGGGUAGGGGAGCGUUCUGUAAGCCUGUGAAGGUGUGCUGUGAGGUAUGCUGGAGGUAUCAGAAGUGCGAAUGCUGACAUAAGUAACGAUAAAGCGGGUGAAAAGCCCGCUCGCCGGAAGACCAAGGGUUCCUGUCCAACGUUAAUCGGGGCAGGGUGAGUCGACCCCUAAGGCGAGGCCGAAAGGCGUAGUCGAUGGGAAACAGGUUAAUAUUCCUGUACUUGGUGUUACUGCGAAGGGGGGACGGAGAAGGCUAUGUUGGCCGGGCGACGGUUGUCCCGGUUUAAGCGUGUAGGCUGGUUUUCCAGGCAAAUCCGGAAAAUCAAGGCCGAGGCGUGAUGACGAGGCACUACGGUGCUGAAGCAACAAAUGCCCUGCUUCCAGGAAAAGCCUCUAAGCAUCAGGUAACAUCAAAUCGUACCCCAAACCGACACAGGUGGUCAGGUAGAGAAUACCAAGGCGCUUGAGAGAACUCGGGUGAAGGAACUAGGCAAAAUGGUGCCGUAACUUCGGGAGAAGGCACGCUGAUACGUAGGUGAAGCGACUUGCUCGUGGAGCUGAAAUCAGUCGAAGAUACCAGCUGGCUGCAACUGUUUAUUAAAAACACAGCACUGUGCAAACACGAAAGUGGACGUAUACGGUGUGACGCCUGCCCGGUGCCGGAAGGUUAAUUGAUGGGGUUAGCGCAAGCGAAGCUCUUGAUCGAAGCCCCGGUAAACGGCGGCCGUAACUAUAACGGUCCUAAGGUAGCGAAAUUCCUUGUCGGGUAAGUUCCGACCUGCACGAAUGGCGUAAUGAUGGCCAGGCUGUCUCCACCCGAGACUCAGUGAAAUUGAACUCGCUGUGAAGAUGCAGUGUACCCGCGGCAAGACGGAAAGACCCCGUGAACCUUUACUAUAGCUUGACACUGAACAUUGAGCCUUGAUGUGUAGGAUAGGUGGGAGGCUUUGAAGUGUGGACGCCAGUCUGCAUGGAGCCGACCUUGAAAUACCACCCUUUAAUGUUUGAUGUUCUAACGUGGACCCGUGAUCCGGGUUGCGGACAGUGUCUGGUGGGUAGUUUGACUGGGGCGGUCUCCUCCUAAAGAGUAACGGAGGAGCACGAAGGUUGGCUAAUCCUGGUCGGACAUCAGGAGGUUAGUGCAAUGGCAUAAGCCAGCUUGACUGCGAGCGUGACGGCGCGAGCAGGUGCGAAAGCAGGUCAUAGUGAUCCGGUGGUUCUGAAUGGAAGGGCCAUCGCUCAACGGAUAAAAGGUACUCCGGGGAUAACAGGCUGAUACCGCCCAAGAGUUCAUAUCGACGGCGGUGUUUGGCACCUCGAUGUCGGCUCAUCACAUCCUGGGGCUGAAGUAGGUCCCAAGGGUAUGGCUGUUCGCCAUUUAAAGUGGUACGCGAGCUGGGUUUAGAACGUCGUGAGACAGUUCGGUCCCUAUCUGCCGUGGGCGCUGGAGAACUGAGGGGGGCUGCUCCUAGUACGAGAGGACCGGAGUGGACGCAUCACUGGUGUUCGGGUUGUCAUGCCAAUGGCACUGCCCGGUAGCUAAAUGCGGAAGAGAUAAGUGCUGAAAGCAUCUAAGCACGAAACUUGCCCCGAGAUGAGUUCUCCCUGACCCUUUAAGGGUCCUGAAGGAACGUUGAAGACGACGACGUUGAUAGGCCGGGUGUGUAAGCGCAGCGAUGCGUUGAGCUAACCGGUACUAAUGAACCGUGAGGCUUAACCUUACAACGCCGAAG
rnacentral:rRNA from 1 species